rnacentral:rRNA from 1 species
UACGAGGGGGGCAAGCGUUGUUCGGAAUUAUUGGGCGUAAAGGGCGCGUAGGCGGUUUGACAAGUCUGAUGUGAAAUCUCUGGGCUCAACCCAGAGUCUGCAUUAGAAACUGUCGGGCUUGAGUAUGGGAGAGGUGAGUGGAAUUUCCGGUGUAGCGGUGAAAUGCGUAGAUAUCGGAAGGAACACCUGUGGCGAAAGCGGCUCACUGGACCAUAACUGACGCUGAGGCGCGAAAGCUAGGGGAGCAAACAUG